rnacentral:rRNA from 1 species
AUUGAACGCUGGCGGCGUGCUUUACACAUGCAAGUCGAACGAGUGGCGGACGGGUGAGUAACGCAUCGGAACGUCACGAAUAAUGGGGGAUAACUGUCCGAAAGGACAGCUAAUAACGCAUAUUAUUCGAGCGGCAGAUGUUGGAGUAGCUGGUUGGCGGGGUAAAUGACCACCAAGGCGAAGAUCAGUAGCGGGUCUGAGAGGAUGAUCCGCCACACUGUGACUGAGACACGGUCCAGAGUCCUACGGGAGGCAGCAGUGGGGAAUAUGGCACAAUGGGCGCAAGCCUGAUGCAGCCAUGCCGAGUGUCUGAAGAAGGCCUUCGGGUUGUAAAGGACUUUUGUCAGGGAAGCGGGACCUGAAGAAUAAGCACCGGCUAACGACGUGCCAGCAGCCGCGGUAAUUC